UAUUGACUGAGGGCCUACUGGAUGCGAGA
rnacentral:piRNA from 1 species